rnacentral:rRNA from 1 species
AUUGAACGCUGGCGGCAUGCCUUACACAUGCAAGUCGAACGGUAACAGAUCUUCGGAUGCUGACGAGUGGCGAACGGGUGAGUAAUACAUCGGAACGUGCCUAGUAGUGGGGGAUAACUACUCGAAAGAGUGGCUAAUACCGCAUGAGAUCUACGGAUGAAAGCAGGGGAUCGCAAGACCUUGUGCUACUAGAGCGGCCGAUGGCAGAUGAGGUAGUUGGUGGGAUAAAAGCUUACCAAGCCGACGAUCUGUAGCUGGUCUGAGAGGACGAUCGGCCACACUGGGACUGAGACACGGCCCAGACUCCUACGGGAGGCAGCAGUGGGGAAUUUUGGACAAUGGGCGCAAGCCUGAUCCAGCAAUGCCGCGUGCAGGAUGAAGGCCUUCGGGUUGUAAACUGCUUUUGUACGGAACGAAAAGCCCUGGGUUAAUACCCUGGGGUCAUGACGGUACCGUAAGAAUAAGCACCGGCUAACUACGUGCCAGCCGCCGCGGUAACAC